CCGACGGUAGCUCAGCCUGGUAGAGCGGCGACGUAGUGCGCGGGUCAUCGGUUCGAAUCCGAUCCGUCGGU
rnacentral:tRNA from 1 species